rnacentral:rRNA from 1 species
CCGGAGGAAAGGACAUCAAACGAGACUCCGUUAGUAGUGGCGAGCGAACGCGGACCAGGCCAGUGAUACAUCAAAGACAACCGGAACCUGUCAGGAAAGCAGGGCCUUAGAGGGGUGAUAGCCCCGUACGGGUAAUGCAAUGAUGUAUCCAUGAGUAAGGCGGAACACGUGAAAUUCUGUCUGAACGUGGGGGGACCACCCUCCAAGCCUAAGUACUCCUCAGCGACCGAUAGUGAACCAGUACCGUGAGGGAAAGGUGAAAAGCACCCCGACGAGGGGAGUGAAAUAGACCUGAAACCGGACACCUACAAACAGAUGGAGCCCAAGAUACGUUCUGGGUGACAUCGUACCUUUUGUAUUAUGGGCCAGCGACUUAAUUUAACGAGCAAGCUUAAGCCGAUAGGCGUAUGCGCAGCGAAAGCGAGUCUGAAUAGGGCGUCAAGUUCGUUGUAUUAGACCCGAAACCUAGUGAUCUAGCCAUGAGCAGGUUGAAGGUGAGGUAACACUCACUGGAGGACCGAACGGGUGUCUGUUG